AUGGCAAUCCUGUGAUAUAGAAUUGACAAUAUUUUCUAAAUCAUAGGAUUGUUGUGA
rnacentral:pre_miRNA from 1 species